rnacentral:rRNA from 1 species
UGCCUAAUACAUGCAAGUCGAGCGAACGGACGAGAAGCUUGCUUCUCUGAUGUUAGCGGCGGACGGGUGAGUAACACGUGGAUAACCUACCUAUAAGACUGGGAUAACUUCGGGAAACCGGAGCUAAUACCGGAUAAUAUUUUGAACCGCAUGGUUCAAAAGUGAAAGACGGUCUUGCUGUCACUUAUAGAUGGAUCCGCGCUGCAUUAGCUAGUUGGUAAGGUAACGGCUUACCAAGGCAACGAUGCAUAGCCGACCUGAGAGGGUGAUCGGCCACACUGGAACUGAGACACGGUCCAGACUCCUACGGGAGGCAGCAGUAGGGAAUCUUCCGCAAUGGGCGAAAGCCUGACGGAGCAACGCCGCGUGAGUGAUGAAGGUCUUCGGAUCGUAAAACUCUGUUAUUAGGGAAGAACAUAUGUGUAAGUAACUGUGCACAUCUUGACGGUACCUAAUCAGAAAGCCACGGCUAACUACGUGCCAGCAGCCGCGGUAAUACGUAGGUGGCAAGCGUUAUCCGGAAUUAUUGGGCGUAAAGCGCGCGUAGGCGGUUUUUUAAGUCUGAUGUGAAAGCCCACGGCUCAACCGUGGAGGGUCAUUGGAAACUGGAAAACUUGAGUGCAGAAGAGGAAAGUGGAAUUCCAUGUGUAGCGGUGAAAUGCGCAGAGAUAUGGAGGAACACCAGUGGCGAAGGCGACUUUCUGGUCUGUAACUGACGCUGAUGUGCGAAAGCGUGGGGAUCAAACAGGAUUAGAUACCCUGGUAGUCCACGCCGUAAACGAUGAGUGCUAAGUGUUAGGGGGUUUCCGCCCCUUAGUGCUGCAGCUAACGCAUUAAGCACUCCGCCUGGGGAGUACGACCGCAAGGUUGAAACUCAAAGGAAUUGACGGGGACCCGCACAAGCGGUGGAGCAUGUGGUUUAAUUCGAAGCAACGCGAAGAACCUUACCAAAUCUUGACAUCCUUUGACAACUCUAGAGAUAGAGCUUUCCCCUUCGGGGGACAAAGUGACAGGUGGUGCAUGGUUGUCGUCAGCUCGUGUCGUGAGAUGUUGGGUUAAGUCCCGCAACGAGCGCAACCCUUAAGCUUAGUUGCCAUCAUUAAGUUGGGCACUCUAAGUUGACUGCCGGUGACAAACCGGAGGAAGGUGGGGAUGACGUCAAAUCAUCAUGCCCCUUAUGAUUUGGGCUACACACGUGCUACAAUGGACAAUACAAAGGGCAGCGAAACCGCGAGGUCAAGCAAAUCCCAUAAAGUUGUUCUCAGUUCGGAUUGUAGUCUGCAACUCGACUACAUGAAGCUGGAAUCGCUAGUAAUCGUAGAUCAGCAUGCUACGGUGAAUACGUUCCCGGGUCUUGUACACACCGCCCGUCACACCACGAGAGUUUGUAACACCCGAAGCCGGUGGAGUAACCUUUUAGGAGCUAGCCGUCGAAGGUGGGACAAAUGAUUGGGGUGAAGUCGUAAAGGGA